CCCGGUGAGGUUUUAACGGCCGCAGUUAAGAGCUGUGCUAAGGUAGCGUAAUAAGUUGUCCUUUAAAUGAGGAAAGGAAUGAAUGGUUUGACGUGAAAAACUCUGUCUCUUUAAAAAUAAAUGAAAUUUUCUUUUCAGUGAAAAGCCUGAAAUUUUAUUAAAAGACGAGAAGACCCUGUCGAGCUUGAUAAUACAUAGUAAUAGUGGUGUGGUAAAGUUUGGUUGGGGCGACCUAGGAGUAAAGAAAGACUCCUUAAAGUAAUGAUAAGCCAAAAUUUUUGAAAUAAGAAAAAGCUACCGCAGGGAUAACAGCGUUAUCUUUUCUAAGAGAACAAAUUGAAGAAAAG
rnacentral:rRNA from 1 species